UAACCUACCCUUGGGACUGGGAUAACCCCGGGAAACUGGGGAUAAUACCGGAUAGAUCAGGGAUGCUGGAAUGCGCCUUGAUCCAAAGCUCCGGCGCCCAAGGAUGGGUCUGCGGCCUAUCAGGUAGUAGUGGGUGUAACGUACCUACUAGCCAACGACGGGUACGGGUUGUGAGAGCAAGAGCCCGGAGAUGGAUUCUGAGACACGAAUCCAGGCCCUACGGGGUGCAGCAGGCGCGAAACCUUUACAAUGUGCGAAAGCAUGAUAAGGGAACUCCGAGUGCCAGUAUCUAAUACUGGCUGUCCUUGUGCCUAAAACGCACAAGAUAGCAAGGGCCGGGUAAGACCGGUGCCAGCCGCCGCGGUAACACCGGCGGCCCGAGUGGUAGCCGCUAUUAUUGGGUCUAAAGGGUCCGUAGCCGGUUCGAUAAGUCCUCUGGGAAAUCUGGUUGCUUAACAAUCAGACUGCCAAGGGAUACUGUCGAACUUGAGACCGGGAGAGGUAAGAGGUACUUCAGGGGUAGGAGUGAAAUCUUGUAAUCCCUGGGGGACCAUCUGUGGCGAAGGCGUCUUACCAGAACGGGUCUGACGGUGAGGGACGAAAGCUGGGGGCGCAAACCGGAUUAGAUACCCGGGUAGUCCCAGCCGUAAACGAUGCUCGCUAUGUGUCAGGUACGGUGUGACCGUAUCUGGUGCCGUAGGGAAGCCGUGAAGCGAGCCACCUGGGAAGUACGGUCGCAAGACUGAAACUUAA
rnacentral:rRNA from 1 species